AACCUCCACCUCCUGGGUUCAAGGGAGUCUCCUGCCUUAGCCUCCGGAGUAGCUAAGAUUACAAACACCAACCAUCAUGUCUGGCUAAUUUUUGUAUUUUAGUAGAGACAGCUGCUAAGUCUGCAGGGGUUUGUUGCCUACAAUCACAAUGGAAGAAAAUGCUAAAUUCCAGCAUGAGAUCAGUGAAGGGAAAAGAAAAAAAGGUGUAAUUUUUUUUCCAUCCAAGUUCACAGACCCCUGGGUUAAGAACAGCUGGUGUAGAGGAAGGCAGUGGAGAGGAAACUCUGGAACUAGCCAGUUUGUUUGGAAGCGCUUCGUAUAUGGGCCUCUUCAGUCAUCUUUUUGGAUGUUAUUGAUUUGGCCCUGUAUGGAGAGCAGUGAUACAUGUCAGAUUCACAAUUCUCAAAGCAUAACUGCUGAUCUUCCCUCCACCCCCAGACCUGCCCCACCCGAAGCCUUCUUCAGCUCCGUGGAUGGCUCUCUUCUUCCAAUUGCCCAACAAAAACCCUGGCGUUGCCUUGAAGCACCCCACAUUGAAUCCAUUGGAAAAUCCUACUGGCUCUGCCUUCCUGACUCUGCCCACCGCUGCCUGCCUCCACUGCUCCCAACCUUGUCUGAGCUGCAAUGACUUCUCACCUGGUUACUGCAAUGGCCCCAUCUACUCCCCCAGCUUCCUCCUUGUCCCCCUGAAGUUCAUUUAUUUUUAUUUUUAUUCUUAAAUUAAGUAGAGACAUAGUCUCACUAUGGUGUCCAGGCUGGUCUUGAACUCCUGAGCUCAAGUGAUCCUCCCGUCUCAGCCUCCCAAAGUGCUAGGAUUACAGGCACGAGCCACCAUGCCUGGCCAUCCCUGCAGUUCAUUUUUUUUUUUUUUUUUUUUUUUGAGACGGUGUCUGGCUCUGUCACCCAGGCUGCACAAUCUCAGCUCACUGCAACCUCCACCUCCCAGGCUCAAGCCAUCCUUCCACCUCAGCCUCCCACGUAGCUGGGACUAUGGGUGCGCGCCACCACGCCCGGCUAAUUUUUGUGUUUUUUGUAGAGAUGGGGUUUCACCAUGUUGCCCAGGAUGGUCUUGAACUCUUGGGCUCAAGCAAUCUGCCCACCUUGGCCUCCCAAAGUGCCAGGAUUACAGGUGUGAGCCACUGCACCUGGCCAUCCCUGCUGUUUAUUUUUAACACAGCAGGCAGAGUGACCCUUUAUGUGCGGGCUCCUUGCUCAC
rnacentral:lncRNA from 1 species